rnacentral:lncRNA from 10 species
UAGAAAUCUGGAAGUGAAGGCGUUCAAUAAAAGUUAAAGGACUGAUAAUCAUGUUUAGCCCCACCAAGCUUCAUGCACAGUGGGCUAGGCUGGUGCCUGAGCCCACUGCUUUUAUCUCUUCCAAGUACUUGGUUUAGCUCUGAAAUGCUCCUUAAUCCUAUUGAAACCUGACCCUUCUCAAAGGCCACCUUCUCUACUGGUCUUUACUAAUUACUAACCCAUAAGGUUGUUCCGGGUCUUCUUCAAAUGACUGUUUUGUUUGGCACAAACUCAGCAUGAUAUCCAUUGUUAACUUUGUACGUUUUUUUCAUUUAUCUUGCAACAAAUGCUUACAGAAUGUCCACGCACUGUGUUAGAUGCCUGCAGAUACAGCAGGGAAAACGCUCGAGAUGCCCUCAAGUAGCUUUACAGACUAGGAGAGUGACAGACAAUGUGAUGUGUGGUUAUGCAGAGGAAGUAGGGGGCUGUGAGAACUUACAUCCCAGGCCUAACCCAAUCAAGGGUUUAACCAAAGUAAGGAUGCUUUAUGCUACUUUGUAAUUUCCACAGAGUCUGAUACAAUCUCUGGACAGUAUAAAAAACACACAGGUUAUCUAUCUGGUCACCGGUUUACAUUACCAUAACUUAUCAAACUGUAUACUUAAUGCUUGUAUAUUUUAUUGUAUGUAAAUUA